AUUGAACGCUGGCGGCAGGCCUAACACAUGCAAGUCGAGCGGAUGAAGGGAGCUUGCUUCUGGAUUCAGCGGCGGACGGGUGAGUAAUGCCUAGGAAUCUGCCUGGUAGUGGGGGAUAACGUCCGGAAACGGGCGCUAAUACCGCAUACGUCCUGAGGGAGAAAGUGGGGGUUCUUCGGACCUCACGCUAUCAGAUGAGCCUAGGUCGGAUUAGCUAGUUGGUGGGGUAAAGGCCUACCAAGGCGACGAUCCGUAACUGGUCUGAGAGGAUGAUCAGUCACACUGGAAGUGAGCCACGGUCCAGACUACUACGGGAGGCAGCAGUGGGGAAUAUUGGACAGUAGGCGAAAGCCUGGACCAGCCAUGCCGCGUGUGUGAAGAAGGUCUUCGGAUUGUAAAGCACUUUAAGUUGGGGGAAAGGGCAGUAAGGUAAUACCUUGCUGUUUUGACGGUACCAACAGAAUAAGCACCGGCUAACUUCGUG
rnacentral:rRNA from 1 species